GAGAGAGAGAGAGAGAGAGAGAGAGAGAGGAAAGUGGGAGACAAUCCAGUAAAAGAGAAGAGGAGGGAACAAAGGAAAAGAGGGAAUAGGAGGCCAGCUCUAAACAAAUAAACUGUAUAUAAAACACUCUCAGGAAUUUCAAACCACUAUAAAGUAACAUGAAAUACCAUAACAAAGCACACUAAGGCCCUCUAAGGAUCAAGCUCCAUCUUUGGCAUUAACCUGAGUAAGAAGAUACAUGGUCUUUGAAGCCCUCGAGACCUGAGAAGACCACAAUAUGAUAACAAUCCUCAAAAAGAACGAAAUUCCCAUCUUAAGCAUUAACCUACUGACUAGAGAAGAGAUUGGAAGAAAGGGAAUACGGUUGAAAGCCAAGAAAAUGACUACAACAAAA
rnacentral:lncRNA from 1 species